rnacentral:rRNA from 1 species
GUGCCAGCCGCCGCGGUAAUACCGGCAGCCCAAGUGAUGGCCGAUCUUAUUGGGCCUAAAGCGUCCGUAGCUGGCUGCGCAAGUCCGUCGGGAAAUCCACUCGCCCAACGAGUGGGCGUCCGACAGAAACUGCACAGCUUGGGACCGGAAGGCUCGAAGGGUACGUUCGGGGUAGGAGUGAAAUCCUAUAAUCCCGCACGGACCACCGAUGGCGAAAGCAUCUCGAGAAAACGGAUCCGACAGUGAGGGACGAAAGCUAUGGUCUCGAACCGGAUUAGAAACCCGAGUAGUCC